AUUGAACGCUGGCGGCAGGCCUAACACAUGCAAGUCGAGCGAGCGGCGGACGGGUGAGUAAUGUCUGGGAAACUGCCUGAUGGAGGGGGAUAACUACUGGAAACGGUAGCUAAUACCGCAUACCAUCAGAUGUGCCCAGGUGGGAUUAGCUAGUAGGGGGGGUAACGGCUCACCUAGGCGACGAUCCCUAGCUGGUCUGAGAGGAUGACCAGCCACACUGGAACUGGGCCACGGGCCCGACUCCUACGGGAGGCAACAGUGGGGAAUUUUGCACAAUGGGCGCAACCCUUAUGCAGCCAUUCCGCGUGUGUGAAGAAGGCCUUCGGGUUGUAAAGCACUUUCAGCGGGGAGGCGUUACCCGCAGAAGAAUCGCCGGCUAACUCCGUGGCAGCCGCCGCGGUAAUAC
rnacentral:rRNA from 1 species